AGAUGGUAUUUUUGUAAGUCGCUCUGGAUAAGAGCGUCUGCUAAAUGACAUAAA
rfam:Salmo salar isolate Sally breed double haploid chromosome ssa17, whole genome shotgun sequence.